UGCUGUUGAACUUUUCAUUUUGUUUCUUGCACGGGAUUUGCAGUUCCUGAAACUAAAGAAGUGGUGAUCCAUAAGUACAAGACUCCCAUGGCAAAUCAGAUCUGUUACUCGGUGCUCUGCCUCUUCUCCUACAUGGCGGCGGUCAAAGGGAAAGAGUCAGAGGGCAAGCCCAA